rfam:Homo sapiens chromosome 7, GRCh38 reference primary assembly.
GCCGGGCAUGAUGGCUCAUGCCUGUAAUCCCAGCACUUUGGGAGGCCGAGGCGGGUGGAUCACCUGAGGUCAGGAGUUCGAGACCAGCCUGGCCAACAUGGUGAAACCCCAUCUCUA